CGGCAAAAUUACGAAUGAGUAAUGGACCAACCGUUCAGAACUAAAGGGUUUUGUUUUUAAAGACGAAAAUGCCCCUACUUAUGCAGAAUCUUGUAUUCUCCAACAGUUGAGCUUUUCCAUUUCAGUUUCUAGCUACUUGAUGCCCAUUUCUUCUGGUGCAUAACAGUUGCUGGUGGAGAUGGUUGGAGUCCACAGGGAUUAGAAGCCUCAGAAAUUGCCUUCCCAUUUCCAAAGUCAGAGGUCUGGAUUUAAUACUUCAUAAGUCUUAGCUUUAAUUCCAUUUUGAAUCUAAUCAUAAUUAGAGUGAUGCGUUUCUAACCUUCUAUUCUAAUUUUAUACACAAAUUUUCAUUUUUCUUCUCUGAGCAUAAGCGAAGGUUGAGGUUGAGUCAGUCAAGACUCAAGAUAGAGACGGUUUGAGUCCAAGCUCUGUUGCCUUGAUGCGCAAAGAAUGAGAAUUUGCUUGAUGCUUGUGUUACCUUGAGUUACAAAUGCUUAUGCUUGUUGAAGAGACUCAAUUCUUCCGUUGCAAACAAUUGACCUAAAGAUGGAGAUUGGUUCAAUACCAUAGCUGAAGAAGCUAAGAGGGCGCAGGUUGAGUUAAUCAAGAAGGGAGUGUUCAGGAGGUGUAGUAGGAGAGAGAUGGUGAUUAGGAGACUUGGUAGAAAUUGAUUCAAAUCCAUCACUGGGUGCCUAUGACUGGGUCCAUGCUUAAUGUUUGUGCUAGUCCAAAUUACAAGUGAUACCGAGUCUGAAGAUACUAAUUUCUUCCAUUGUAAACAAUUGAGCUUAAAGUGGAGAUGGUUCAACAUCAUAUCUAAAGAAGCUAAGAGGUUAAUCAAGAAGGGAGUGUUCAGGAGGUGAAGUAGGGCAGGGAUGGUGGUUAGAGACUUGGUGGAAGUCGAUUCAAGUCCAGGCCCUGACUGAGUCCAUCCACAAUGUUUAUGGUAGUCCAAAUUACAAGUGUUACGGAGUCGUUGAAGGUUGUCCUUUCUUAGUUCUGUAACCUCAAUCUUGAACUAUGAACCAGGAGUAAUUUUCACUAUGUAUAACAUGCAAAUCUCAAAUGAAAAGCUUAGCAGGUUUGAGCA